UUUUUUUACAGCUAAGUCAUCUUGAUUGUAUAAUUUUCAGUUUAACACAGUAUUCGUUUAUUAAUGGAUAUGCACCCCUGAUUUGGCCUGCUGCAAUUAAACCCAUUUAUCGAGCAGGAAAUUAUUAGGUUGUUUGGGAUAUUUUUGUGCUGUUACCUGCAAUCCUCACUAUUCUUCUAGUUUAGUGGAAGAUGACACUGUUCUUCUUUGUAGGACCCUGAGUUCUAUCAGUUCCUGAAAGAACAUGACAAGGAGCUUCUAGAAUUCGAUGAUGACAUGGAUGUGAGUUUUUUGCUCCUUAAUGAUUCUUCUGAUUAUGCUACCGGGUUGGUCUUCUCAACUUUGUUCUAACUUUUUACAGGAGGAUGUUGAAAGUGAUAUGAAUGAUGAAACGCAAGAAGAUGAAGAAACUGAUGCACAAGACAUAAAACACUUGACUACUGCUGCAGAGAAGGGAGAUAAGAAUUCUAAACAUGUUAUAACUAGUGCAAUGGUUGAUUCUUGGUUUAAUGCAAUCCGAGAAGGUGCAAAAUUAGGGGCAGUUCGCUCUCUUAUGAAAGCUUUUCGCGCUGCUUGCCAUUAUGGUGAUGAUGGUGAUGAUGAGUCUUCGACAAAGCUUAAUAUCAUGUCUAGCAGCGUGUUCAACAAAAUAAUGCUAUUUGUUUUAAGUGAAAUGGAUGGAAUUCUUCGAGCAUUAUUAAAACUCCCACCUUCUGGAGGAAAGAAGGAAACAAUUACAGAUCUGAUGAGCGCAAAACAAUGGAAGAACUACAGCCACUUGGUGAAGUCAUAUUUUGGAAAUGCUCUACAUGUCUUGAACCAGAUGACCGACACGGAGAUGAUAUCUUUCACAUUAAAACGUCUGCGGUAUUCCUCAAUAUUUUUGGCUGCUUUUCCAAGCCUCUUAAGGAGGUAUAUUAAGGUAUGCUUUGAGUUGUGCAAAUUUCCCCUCAGAUCAAUUAUUUACAUUGCUUUGGAUACCUCUAGAGGGUAGCUACGGAAAUCACAGUUCCAACGCAUAUUGAAUUGGUUUUAGUAUAUCUCAUUGAUACGGACAGGUGGUUCCCAGAAUCCAUUCUUACUGCCGCUUUUGGGAUUACUCAGUGCAUUUUAUUAUUUUUAUAUACAUCUUUAGUGCCUAAAUCUAGUUAUUUGAAUCAUCCAGAAUUGAAAUUUAUAUUUCUUUGGUCUAUUAGACAUUUAAAAAUUUUCAAACAAGUGAUAAGGUUGUAGCGAUUAUUAUAGCCGAUUUUUUUGCUAAUGCUUUUGUUGUAGUGGUAAAUAUAAUACUGAUAUUUUGUCUUCUCAGGUUGUUAUUCAUUUCUGGGGUACCGGGGGAGGUGCACUGCCAGUUGUCUCCUUUUUAUUUAUACGAGAUUUAUGCAUUCGACUUGGUUCUGAUUGUUUAGACGAAUGCUUUAAAGGGAUGUACAAAGCCUAUGUGUUGAAUUGCCAAUUUGUGAAUGCAACAAAAUUACAGCACAUUCAAUUUCUUGGAAAUUGUGUCACUGAACUUCUUGGCGUGGACCUUCCAGUUGCAUAUCAACAUGCUUUUGUUUUCAUACGGCAGUUAGCAAUGAUUUUGCGGGAGGCUCUUACAAUGAAAACUAAGGUACCAUUUUAUUUCUUAUUUAUUAAUGUUGUGCACGAUAGUUUUUUCCCACAUACUAAUGCUUGAAUGUCCAAUGUUUAAGUGUUUUUUCAUGAAACAGAAGCUGACCAAGUAGCCAGUUUACUGCAUUACGUUGAUUUUUGUUAAAUGUUUGUUUAUGCAUAUGAUCCUUGACUAUCGCCUGACUAUUCUAUAGGAAGCAUUCCGGAAGGUUUAUGAAUGGAAAUAUAUGAAUUGUCUUGAGCUUUGGACUGGAGCUAUCUGUGCCUAUAGUUCGGAAUCAGAUUUUAUGCCACUUGCUUAUCCGCUGACUCAAAUAAUUUCUGGGGUAGCUCGUCUAGUUCCAACUGCUCGAUAUUUUCCCCUCAGACUGCGUUGUGUUAGGAUGCUCAACCGAAUCGCCGCUUCUAGUGGAGCUUUUAUACCUGUUUCUCUGCUACUUUUAGACAUGCUAGAGAUGAAAGAAUUAAAUAGACCCCCUACAGGUGGCGUUGGCAAAGCUGUUGACCUACGUACCAUACUGAAGGUAGUUCUUGGAAUCAAUUUCAUUCUUUUUGUUAGUUCGUUGUAGCAAAUCAAUUGUUGGAUGUGAAUGUGAAAUGUGGAGAAUUUCAUGAUGCAGGUGAGCAAACCAACUCUUAAGACACGUGCAUUUCAGGAGGCGUGUGUUUUUUCUGUGGUCGAAGAGCUUGCUGAACAUUUAGCUCAUUGGAGUUAUUCUGUUGCUUUCUUUGAGUUGUCUUUUAUUCCUGCGGUUCGGCUGCGUAGCUUCUGCAAAUCUACAAAAAUUGAGAGGUUCCGACGAGAAAUGAGGCAACUUAUUCGUCAGGUAUAUUCUUAAGAGGAGUGAUCUGUGAAGUUAGGAGUUAGUUGAGAUAGAGAUGUACCGAAAUGAUGUGUAAAAAAUGGAAAAAAGAUAAUAAGAAAAAUGGUUUAUUCCUUCAGAUUUUUGUUAAGGCUAUUUCUGUAUUUCAUAGCUGAACCAAUCCAUAUUCAUCAUAUUUGAAGCUUAUGGAGAGAACCACUAAUGUAUUGGCUGUUUCAUGGUACAGAUUGAGGCCAAUGGAGAUUUCACAAAUAAAAAACGUACAUUGGUUUCAUUUUUACCAAAUGAUCCGGCAGCAGCAUCCUUUCUUGAGGUUUGCCAAUCCAUGAUUCCUUAUUUUUUGUUCUCUUUUAUUUCUUUGUUUCCUUUUUUUUUUUCUCUUUCCACGUUCUCAAGACUCGAAUAGCCAUUUUGGUUGACAAAUUUUGUGUAUUUAUUUUUCCUGUCGAGUGGCAGAACUAAUUAUGAGAUUCAUAUGCCAAAAACUGGUUUGGCUUGUUUGAUGUAUAACAUCUAUAUUUCUGAAUAUUCUUCUGUUUUUUUCCUAGGUGAAAUGGUGUUUACAAGAUGCAUUAGAGCAAUUCAUGCAUAUUAUAGGAGUUUUGUCCAUUGUUACACGUGAAACUCGAAUUACUAAAAGCUUGCUUGUGGAUGUCCAACCACGCAUGUUGAAUCAUUCUCCCAUAGCCUUACUCAAGUGUCACUUGGACAAGUCCAUUUAUCCUAGCUUAUGUCCAUAUUUUGAUCAUUAACCAGAGCAAAAUUGUAAUUAAUCUUUUUUUUUUUUUGAGAAAUGUAAGAACUUCAUUCAAUAAGAAAUUGUAAUUGAUCGUUUAAUUUAUUAGAAAUUUCAAGUCAGCUGAUCUUGCUUAACCUGUUAGCAACACUUUUUCAUUUUCAAUCUUGUUUCUUGGUAUAUAUGUCUGUAUGUUUAAUUGGUAACCAGACCAAGAUGGAUUAGAAAAAGAUUUAAACUGAACGAGCUGACCUAUUUAGACUAGCAGAACAGUUGAGACCAGAUUCCUGUGUGCCAAAACGAAAGUCGAUUUUUUUUCCCCCACCUAUUCAGUGUAAUUACGGUUAUUGGUUUUGAUAAUUAUUUCUAGUUGAACUUUUGAGAUGAGAUCCUGUUUUCGAGUUUUAAACGUGAGAUUGAGAUCCAGUUCCCAAGUUUCACGACGGUAUUAAUUAGUUGUGUUAAGUAGACUUAGGUAAGGACCACAAGGUACGCCUACUGAAUGCAUAUAUAUGUCUGGAUGUGAGAUUAAUUUGGUCUACAACAUUUGAGUCUCAGAGAGCGUACUGUAUUGUCAAUGUAAUCCAUUGUUUCAACGAAACAAUGGAAUUUAGCUUAUUAUUCACGUUGAAUGAGAGUAAAUGGAAUGUAUACUGUGUUGUCCAAUCAUUACCCAACAUUUUCAGACAUGUUUACUUGCUUUGAAGUGUGGGCCACGCAGAUUGUGUUCACAAGCCAAACCAAUGGAGAGCCCAACUAUGAAUUUCUUUGACCUUGUUUCUCAUGGUUCCUUACUUUAUUAUGAUGUUGCUUGGUCUUUUAUGUCAUGGUCGUUUAUUUUAAUGGGAUGUUAAUCUGAUGCUUUCCUUGGAUGACUGAAUUCUUAUAUGUUGUCAUAGGAUGAGAAAAAGACGGGGGCAAGCCCUCUGUCACAGUAUGUUGCAACUCUACAAGAGAGAUCACGGCAAAGAAAUGACUCCUUGAUGGAAUCAAGGUUCAUAUCCACCUUAUAUGUCAAUUUUUAUUCUUUUCGUAUUGUACUGUUAAGUUGCCACUUCAUAGGGUGAUGUACUUUUCAGUGUUCUUGUGGGUGCAAACUCAUCUGUCUUUGGAAGUAAGAUAUCAGAAAAUGAUGACGACGAUGAUACAAGGAAUGAAGAUGGCACUGCUGCCUUUAGUUCCUCGUGGUUACCUGGAAUUGAUUCCAAGUAUGGUUACUAAAUUAUCCUUGUCCCUUUCUCCCUCCAUUUCCCCCUCUUGUUUUUCGUUUAAGUUACAUUCUGUUUGUUGAUGAUAUAUGUAUAUAUAUGUGUGAUCGACAGCAAAGACAGAAAUUUAUACGUCUUGCCUUUGCUUAUUGUCUUGCAGGACUAAGCUUCCUAAAGAGGAGGAGAAGAAGAAAAAGAAGAAGAGACGAAAGGUGCCACAGGAAGAGGCAGCAGCUUUCGAUGAAGAUGUCGUGGGGGACUUGGUCCUUAGCUCGGAUGAUGACGAAGAUGAAGACACCUUCUCACCGGGGCCAGAUGAUGAGGCUGAGCCGGUGUCACCAAAACAGAAAAGCAAGAAACGGAAACCAUCCGCGGAGUCAUCAAAAAAGAAAUUUCAAUGUCAUGCAAAGAAGUCGAAGAAAAGGAAGAAAGCAAAUUGAGAAUGCAUGUGGUGAUUGUUAGUUAUGUGUUGUUUUGAUUUAUUGUCCCUUUUAUUUUAGCUGUUUGUUAGAAUUUUUGAGAAUGUUGUUAAGACUUUUUCAUGAAUUUUACAUGAUAUAUGUCUUUAGUUGUUUUUUUCCGUUUGUUUUCACAAACAUGUCCUCUUCAUACUGCUCUUCAUGUUAAGAAAAUGAAAGACAAAACUACCCAUGUAAGAGUAAAUAACACAGACAUUAACUUAGAACAAUACUAAGCUUUCUAUUUGUUUUUACUAUUUUUUAUUUAUCAUAUAAUGUGUAUUUACAAAUUGUGAUACGCUGAGUAAUAUUCAACAAUUACAUGAUUAAUCAAAAUGAUAAAAAUAAAAUUUAAACACAGCAUUUUGCAUUAACAAAUGCGUUUGUGAAAUUAAGACUAGCAUUUGUUGGAUCCAACAACAACUAUUUUAACCCCNNNNNNNNNNNNNNNNNNNNNNNNNNNNNNNNNNNNNNNNNNNNNNNNNNNNNNNNNNNNNNNNNNNNNNNNNNNNNNNNNNNNNNNNNNNNNNNNNNNNUCAGUGCUCUGCUGCAAAUUCUUCAUUUGAAUCCGAGUGUGAUUUCGGCUGUCCAGGUCAUUUCCAUUACUUGAUUCUUGCAUUGGCACUUUGUGUUGCUUGUUUGCCUUGUUUUGCUAUGGCUCAGAGAGAAAGUGGUUGGCAAGUCAGCAGGAAGGUUUAAUAUUGAGCGAUUAGAUGAUGAAGCUGAUACACGUCCACAACCUUUUGGAAGGGAAUGUUAAUCAGUCCCACUCCAAAUCGAAGAGAUGAGAUGUAGCAUCUCAAAUUAACAAGAUGAUUUUGAGACAUCACUUACUACUACCAUGUUUUCCUUUGGGGUCCUGGUGUAGUAAUAGAUGUCCUUUAUCAUAAAUGAGUCCUCGGCCAAGUUGUCUAUAUGAGGGCUAUGUGGGCUAUUAAGUCCGUAGCCUAUAAUAAGCCAAGGUGGACUUAUAUUAGUUUAGUUUAUUUUUGGUGUUGAAGAAUUAGUAUUGGAAUAGAGCCAUACUCUGGUGUUUCUCUUUCUAGCCUAGGGUUAUCUCCAGGUUAGGGUUUUGUUCUCUUUCUAAGAUUUCUGAGUUUUUAAUGCAUUUUGAUGUAUCCAUGAAAGAAAACAGAACCUACCAUUGCUUUUAAAGUUUAAGUAGCAAUUAACAGAAAACAAAAAACGAAAAACUGUCGUUGAGACCGUUAGUAAAACAAUACAAACAUCAUAUACAAAAAGGUUCACUGAAUAUCAGCAUUCAGAAAGAGAGGAGGCGAGAAAAAUCCUUUAGCAAGCGUUUAUCCCCUUUAAUAAACAAACAUUAAAAAACAAAAUUUUAGGUCCUAAGUCAGAAAGUCCCCAAUUUUAGUCAAAAUGAGUGGGGAAGAGCAACAUUUUGUCUGAUUUUCAAUAAAUGAAACUUUAAAAGAAAAAAAUUCAAACAAUCAUAAAAAAGAGUGUAAACCCAACCAUAAAGUUAAAAGGCUGAACACAGACAAAUGUAUAACUCAACCAAUCUAUAAUCAUGUUUUGUAACUGCACAUGGACGGAGGAAAACUCAGUACUAGAUAUCCAAAAAAAGGGCUAUUCCAAUGAAACAGAGGUUUUCGAACAUUGCAGAUCCUCCUCUGUAUUAUAUGAAAUCACACCAUCAAACUCCCAUGCUUUACCCUUACAAUAUAAAUAUUUCACGACCUUCUCAGUUAACUUUGCGCAAUCAGCGUGAACAUGGACAACUAGAUGAAUAAAGUACCCUUACAUAUAUUGGAAAAAAGGAAAACUACAAGCCUCUUCUCUCUAUGCCCAUAGGGCCAAACCACAUGUUCCACCUCACAACCAGCCAUCAUCUCCAAACCUGUGACCACCCCAUCACCAGCCACUGUUUCAUCCUCUAUUUAUGUUAUUUCUCUUUCCCUUACUUCGAAAUGUUAUGUUCUCUUAAUAGCAUACUAAUUAUUCAGAAACUUGACGUAUAAGUAUAUAGGUAUACAUGUGUUUUUGUAUUUAGACAACAUAAAUGAAGUGAUGCCAUCAUGCCACCACCAUCUUUUAAAAUGGAUCCUAAUCCAAUUGCAUAUCCAAAAAUGGCAUACCACGGGUAUCAAAGCGGGGGAUUGGGGGUCGAUUGCUCCAUAAGAAUAGAAAUGAUUAAUCAACUCACAGGCACGAUUGUACCAGUACUAAUGCACGAAUCCCGUUAGAAUUCCGAAGUUAAGCGUGCAUGGAUGGGUGUAGUGGAAGGAUGGGUGACCUACUGGAAAGUCCACUUUUUUGUACCCUUUUUAUCAAGAGUAAAUUACACUGACUCCUCUGAGGUUCCAGGUUAAUACACAAGUAACCCUUGGACACUACCCCUGAGGUUAAAACUUGUACCAAAUUCUCUCAUUUUGCACUGCCACCCCUGAGUUCCGGGUUAAUACACUAAGCACUCCUGAGGUCAAAUCAACAUCCUUUGUCAAAAGACAAAAAGAAAUAACUGUUGUCCGGGUACUUUGUGUAUUAACUCAUAACCUCAGGAGUGGUCAGUGUAAAAUGGGAGAAUCUGUUACAAGUUUAAAACCUCAGGGGUACUUUGUGUAUUAACUCGGAACAUCAAGGGAGGUCAGUGUAAUUUACCCUUUUUAUCAAUUUCAUACACAUUUUCUCUUUAGAAAAUUCCACAUGCCCAUUUAUUUGUGAGAUUUACGGAUGUUGACAAGGAAGCGACUCGAUUCGAUCUAGCAUAGUUCACCCGUUGUGCUGCGGAGCGAAGCAGAGAAAGCUGGGGAUUAAGGGGCGAUGGCUCCAUAAGAAUAGAAUGGUUCGACUCGGUGUGCUUCCCCGUCGUGCUUUGGGGGAUGGGGUGAGUAAUGAUGCUCUAUAACAUAAAAUGUGGCAUCAUCUAACGGGUGCGAUCAUACUCCGCACUAUGCCCGGAUCCCUCAGAACUCUGCAUUAAUUUGCUUUGGGCGGGAGGAUACUAGGAUGGAUGACCCCAUGGGAAGUCCUCAUGUUGCAUCCCUUUUUUGCCGAUGUUUUUUCUUCACAGCUUUUCUUUUAAAGCAGAUACCCCUGUCCGCAUUUUAUUUUAGCCUUAGCGGAUGCUAGCGAAAUGGUUGAAUUCAUCCUGGUAUAGAACGUCACCCCAAAGUUAAGCGUGCCCGUCGGGUGCAAUGCAAGGAUGUGACCUUCUAGAAAGUCCUCGUUUUUUUACCUUUUUUGGCUUUUUUUUCUCAACACCUUUUUCUUUUUACUAUAAUUUCUCAUUCCCAUAUCUUUUUUACCUUUACGGAUGCGGCGAUGAGUCGGCUUGGUUCGGCCGAUGUGCUUCCCCCGUCGCGCUACUUGUUGGGAAUAAGGUGAAGGAAUGAUAUCUCUAUAAGAAAUUAAAAUGGCAAUCAGAUGACGGUGUAAUUCAUACCAACAUUAAUGCACCUGAUUCCCAUCAGAACUCCAUAGUUAAGUGUGUUUGCGGCAGGGUAGUACUACGAUGGGUGAACCCUGGGAAGUCCUUUGGUUGCACUCUUUUGCCGAUUUUUCUUUACUGCUUUUCUUUUUUAAAGAUUCCUCAUUACACAUUUGUUUACAUCCUUUAUCUUAUAGAUGCUAGCGAAGCGGUAAAGUCAGGCAAGGUAUACAUCACACCAAAGUUAAGUGGACUCGUGCAAUGCCCAGAAUGAGUGACUUUCUGGAAAGUCCUCAUUGUUUAACUUUUGUGCCGAUGUUUCUCACACCUUUUUUUGAUUGUUUAGAAAAUUUUCUAUCAUUCCCAUAUGUUUUUAGCUCUUUUUUUUUUUUUUUGUUCUUUUUUUUUUUUCCUUUUUUCCCUUUCUUUUUAUCUUUUUAUACAGAUGCGGGUGUGAGUCGGCUUGGUUGGCCUAGAGUGUUUCCCCCGUUGUGCUGUUGUUAGGAAUGGGGUGAAGGGAGUGAUAUAGCUAGAAAACAUAAAAGGUGCAUCAUAUAAAUGGUGUGAUCAUUCUAACACAUGCACUGGAUCCCAUCAAAACCCACAGUCAAGCGUGCCUGCCGGGAGCAGUAUAUGGAUGGGUGAACCCUUGGGAAGUCCUCUUGUUGUACCCUUUUUUGCCAAUUGGUCUUAACGGCUUUUCUUUUUGAAGAUUACUAGAUGCAUUUGUUUGUAGCCUUACGGAGCUAGCGAGCGGCUAAAUCACCCCGGUAUCAUCACCUUGAAGUUAAGCGUGUCGGUCAAAGUGCCAACUUCAAGUGAGUAACUUCUGGGAAGUCUGGUUUUUUACCUUUUUUUGGCCGAUUUUUCUUACACCUUUGUUUCUUUUUAGUAUAUUCUCAUUCCAUUUAUUUUUACUUACGGAUCGGCAAUACGUCGGCUUUGUUUGGCCUGGUGUGCUUUCCCCUAGUCGCGCUGCUGUGGGAGAUGGGGUGAAGGAUUUAAUGUCCAUAAUACAGACGGGAGGGAUGGGUGUGGAUCAUACCCGCACUAAUGCACCAGAUCCCAUCAAAAAUCCGCAGUUAAGCGUGCUGGCGGAGCAAUGCUAGGAUGGAUGACCCAACUAGGAAGUCCGUGUUGCACCCCUUUGUUACCAAUUUCUCUAACGGUUUUUAUUUUUAAAAGAGUCUUGUACGCAUUUGUUUAUCGCGUACGGUUGCGAGAAGCGGCUGGAUUCAGCUUUCGUAUACAUCACCCCCCCCGAAGUUAAGCGUGCCCGGUUGGGUGCAAAUGCCAGGGGAUGGACCUUUUGGAAGUAACCCAAUUUUCACCUUUUGGCCGAUUUGUCUUCACACUUUUCUUUAGUAUAUUUCUCAUUCUCAUUUUUUUAGCCUUACGGAUGCAGGCGAUAAGUCAGGCUAGGUUUCAGCCCGAGUGCUUCCAUGGGGGAUUGAGGUGAAGGAUGAUAUCUCUAUAAGAACAUAAAAUGUACAUAACAUGACGGGUGCGAUCAUUCAAUAAUGCACUGGACUCCCAUCAGAAACUCACAGGUAAAGCGUGCUUGGCGGGGAGUAGUACUUAGGAUGGAUGACCCAUUUGGGAAGUUUUCAGUUGCCCCCUUUUUAUAAUUUUCGGCCGGUGUGCUUCCCUACGGCUGGUAUGGGAGAUGGGGUGAAGGAAAACUGUCUCUAUAAAAACAUAAAAUGUCCACAAUUUUACGGGUGCAAUCAUACGCACUCUAAUACCCCAGUCCCCUCAGAAACUGCGCAAUUAAGCAUACUUGGGCGGGAAAAGGACAAGGAUGGAUGCCACAUUUUUCUUUACGUCUUUUCUUUUUGACAGAUUACUACUUUCGCAUGUGUUUAUAGCUUACGGAUGCUAGCAAUUGGACUGAAUCAGGCCCAGUAACAUCACCAGGAGUUAAUGGCCCGGUCGGGUGCAUGCUGUAAUGGGUGUUUCUGGGAAGUACUCGUUUUUGUACCUUGUUGCCGAUUUUUUCUCACACAUUUGUUUUGGUAUACUUAUUAUUCCAUUAUUUUUAGUUAAAGAUGCAGCGCUGAGUCAGUGUAUUUUGGCCCGGUGUAACUUCCAUGUCGCGCUGUUAUGGGAGAUAGGGUGAAGGGAAUGAGUCUCUAUAAGAAAUAAAAUGUCAUCAUUUGACGGGUACGAUCAUACCCGCCACUAAUGCACUAGUUCCCAUCAAACUCCAUAGAUAUGCAUGCUUGGGACAAGAGCAGAUUAGAUGGGGUCCUUGGACGUCUUUUUGUGCAAACCCUUUUUUGAAAAAAAAAUUAACAGCUUUUCUUUUACAGAUCUGUCCGAUUUUUUACAGCCUUACAGAUGCGAGUGAAGUAGCUGGAUUCAACCUUGUAUACUCACACCGAAGUUAAGGUGCCUGGGUCGGGUUCCAAGCCAGAGGGUGACCUUAAGGAAGUACUCAUUUUCUACCUUUUUUGGCAAGAUUUUUUCUUCAUACCAUUUUCUUGAAGUAUAUCUCAUUCCCAUUUAUUUUUAGCUCACGGAUACAGGCGAAGAGACGGCUUAAUUUGGUCGAUGUGCUUCUCCCGUCGCGCUUGCUAUGGGGAAUGGGGUAAAGAAAUGAUAUCUCUAUAAGACAUAAAACAUCCAUAAUCUAAUGGGUGCCAAUCAUACCCGACCAACUAAUGUACCAGAUUCAAUUAGAACUCUGCAGUCAAGCAUGCUUGGGCGGGAGUAGUGCUAGGAUGAUGACCACUUGGAAAGUCCCGUAUUGCAUCCUUUUUUUCCAAUUUUCUUCCCGGCUUUUUCAUUUUGAAAGAGUCCUUGUCCACAUUGUUAUCACCUUACGGAUGCUAGAAAAUGGCGGAUUUGGCCAGAUAUAGGUCACCUUGAGUUAACUGGUCCCGAUAGGGUUGCAAAUGCCCAAGAUGGGUGACAUUCUGGAGUACUCGUUUUUCAUCUUUCUUUUGGCCGAUUUUCUUCCAACCUUUUUUCUUUUUAGUAUAUUCUCAUUAUCAUUGUUUUUUAGCUUUACGAUGAAAGCAAUGAGUCGCCUUGGUUCAGCCCGGUGUGCGUCCCCGGCGCGCUGCUAAUGGAGGGAUGGGGUGAAGAAAUGAUGUCUUAUCAGAACAUAAAACAUCCAUAAUCUGACGGGUGCGAUAUAUCCGCACUAGUGCACCGUAUCCCAUGAAACUCUACAGUUUAAGCAUGCUUGGGCGGGAUGCCGUAACUUAGGAUGGAUGACCACCUUGUGUACGUCCUUGUUUUUGCGCAAGUCACCCUUUUUUUCUUCACGGCUUUUCUGUUUUUUUUGGAAGAUUCCUCGUAUAAAUGUUUUUUUGUUUUAACACCACACAAGGGGCCUUACGGAUGCUAGCAAAUCAGCUAGAUUCGGCUCGGUAUAGGUCACCUUGAAAAUUAAGAGUGCCGGUCGUGUGCAAUGCCAAGAUGGGUGCCUUCUAGGAAGUACUCAUUUUUCAACUUUUCUUUGGCCGAAUUUUCUUCAUACAGUUUUCUUUUUAGUAUAUGUCUCAUUAUCAUUUAGUUUUUACCUUUACAAAUGAAAACAAUGAGUCAGCUUGGUUCGGCCUGGUGUGCUUCCCCGUCGCGCUGCUAUGGGGGAUGUGGUGAAGAAAUGAUGGCUCUAUAAGAAAAUAAAACAUCAUAAUCUGACGGGAUGCAAUCAUACCUACAUUAGUGCACCAACCCAUGAAUCUGCAGUUAAGCAUGCGUGCGAUAGCAGGCUAUGUAUGGAUGAUCACUUGGGAGUCCUCGUGUUGUACCCUUUUGUUCCUAAUUUUCUUCAUGGCUUUUCUUUUUGGAAUAUUCCUCGUUUGCAUUUGUUUACAUCCUUAUAAUGCUAGGAAAUCGGCUAUAUGCUAAGCUUCGGCCCGGAAUAGGUCACCAUGAAGUUAAGCUUGCCCGGCGGGUAACAAUACCAGAUGGGGGACUGCUAGGAAGUACUCGUUUUUUCAUUCAAUCUUUUUUGGCCGAGUUUUUCUUCCACCCUUUUUCUUUUUAGUAUAUUUCUCAUUAUCACUUAUUUUUUAGCUUUACAAAUAGAGGGUGACUCAGCGUGGUUCGGCCGGUGUAUUUUUCCGUCGCGGCUAUGGUGGAUGGGGUGAAGAAAGGAUGUCAUUCCAAAUUUGACGGGUCCGACCUACUCCGAACUAUGCUCCGGAUCCCUUUAGAACUCUGAAGUUAACUUGCUGUGCGUGGCAGGAUAGGAUGGAUAGCCACUUGGGAAGUCCUCGUGUUGCCACCAUUUUUUCUAAUUUUUCUUCACGGCUUUCUGUUUGAAAGAUUCCUCGUCCCCAUUUGUUUACAAACCUCACGGAUGCUAGGAAAUCGGCUAGAUUUGGCCUGGCAUACAGCACUGAAGUCCAGUGUGUCUGGUCGGUGCAAUGCCAAAAUGGGUGACAUUCUGGGAAGUACUCCUCGUUUUUUUUCAUCUUUCUUUUGGCCGAUUUUCUUCACACCCUUUUUCCCUUUUUAGUAGAUUUCUCAUUAUCAUUUUUUUUAGCUUUACGAUGAAGCAAUAGUCGCCUUGGUCAGUCCCGGUGUGCUUCCCCGUCCGCUGCUAUGGGGGAUGGGGUGAAGAAAUGGAUGUCUUAUAAUAACAUAAACAUCCAUAAUCCUGACGGGUGCGAUCAUAUCCGCACUAGUCACCCGGAUCCCAUAUGAACCUACAUUAAGCAUGCUUGGGCGGGAGCAGUAUUAGCUACUAGAUGGAUGACCAACUUGGGAAGUCCUUGUGUUGGCACCCUUUUUUUCUUCCGGCUUUUCUUUUUGUAAGAUUCCUCGUCUACAUUUUGUUACAAACUACACUACGGUGCUAGGCACAUCAUCUAGAUUCGGCUCGUAUAGGUCACUUGAAAUUAAGCGUGCCGGUCGUGUGCCAUGCCAAGAUGUACCUCUAGGAAGUAACUCAUUUUGUUCAACUUUUCUUUGGCCGAAUUUUCUUCAUACAUUUUUUCUUUUUAUUAUAGUCCCUCCUUAUCAUUUAGUUUUUACCUUUACAAAUGAAACAAUGAGUCAGGCUUGGUUCGGCCUGUGUGCUUCCCCGUCGCGCUGCUAUGGGUGGUUAGUGGUGAAGAAAUGAUGUCUCUAUAAGAAAAUACAACAUCCAUAAUCUGAACGGGUGCAAUCAUACCAAAACUACAUUAUGCACCAGAUCCCCUUAGAAUUCUGCAGUUAAGCAUGCUUGGGCGUAUCAGUACUAUGAUGGAUGAUCACUUGGAUCCUCGUGUUGUAACCCCUUUGUCCUAAUUUUUCUUCAGUUGGCUUUUCUUUUUGGAAUAUUCCUCGUUGCAUUUGUUUAGUCAGCCUUAUUAAUGCGAGGAAAUACGGCUAUAUUCGGCCCGGUGAGGUCACCAUGAAGUUAAGCGUGCCCGGUCGGGUACAAUCCAAGAUGGGUGCCCUUCUAGGAAGUACUCGUUUUAUCAUCUUUUUUUGCCGAUUUUUUCUUCACACCUUUUUCUUUUGGAGUAUAUUUCUCAUUAUCACUUAUGUGGUUUUUAGCUUUACAAAUAGAGGUGAAUCAGCUUGGUUCGGGCCUGGUGUUUUUUCCGUCCGCUGCUAUGGUGGAUAUGGGGGGGGUGAAGAAAUGAUGUCAUCCAUACUUUGAGCGGGUCCAGACCAUACCCGCGGGACUAAUGCUCCGGAUCCCUUUAGAACUCUGCAGUAAGCUUGCUUGGGCGGGAGCAGUACUAGGAGGAUAGGGUCCACUUGGGAGUCCUCUUGUUGCACCAUUUUUUCUAAUUUAUUUCUCACGCUUGUCUUUUUGAAAGAUUCCUCGUCCCCAUUUGUUUACAACCUUACGGUUGCUAGAUGGAAAUCGGCUAGAUUGGCCUGGUAGUAGUCCUUGAGGUAUCGUGUGCCUGGUCAGGUGCAUGCCAAAAUGGGUGACAUUCUGGGGAAGUACUCGGUUUUUUAUCUUCUUUUGACCGAUUUUUUCUUCACCAUUUUUUCUUUUUAGUAUAUUUCUCAUUCUCAUUUAUGAUUUUUAGCUUUACAGAAUAAAGCAAUGACAAUCUUGGUUCGCCCAGUGUGCUUCCCGCGUCGGGCUGCUAUUGGGAUGGGGUGAAGAAAUGAUUCUCUAGAAGACAUAAAUAUCCAUAAUCUGACGGGUGCGAUCAUACCCGCACUAGUGCACCGGAUCCCAUUAGAAGCUACAUUAAGCAUGCUUGUGGCAGGAGCGAUACUAGGAUGAGAGAUGAGCCAAACAUUGGGAAGUCGCUCGAUGUUUGCACCCUUUGGGUUUUCUUCACGAGCUUUUCUUUUUAGAAGAUUUCUCGUCUACAUUUGUUACAGCCUGUACGAUGCUAGAAAAUCGGUUGUAUUCGUCCCGUAUAGGUCACCUUGAAGUUUCAGCGUUUUCCGGGCGGGUGCAAUACCAUGAAUGGUUGACUUUCUGGAAAUACUUCGUUUUUAUUAUUUGUUUUGUCGUUUUUCUUCACACAUUUUUCUUUUUAUUAUAUUUCUCAUUAUCAUUUACUUUUUAGCAUACAAAUGGAGGCAAUGAGUCGGUUGGUGGCGCAGUGUGCUUUCCUGUCGUGCUACUGUGGGGGAUGGGGUGAAGAAAUGAUAUUUCUUUAUAAGACACAUAAAAAUCCAUAAGCUGACGAGUGCAUCAUCCCAAACUAAUGCACCGGAUUCCAAUUAGAACUCGGCCGAUGAGUAUGCUUUGGGUGGGAGUUAGUCUAGGAGGAUGACCAAUUGGGAAGUCACUGUAUUGCACCAUUUUUUUUCCAAUUUUUCUUACAGCUUUUUUUUUGGAAGAUUCCUAGUCCGGAAUUUGUUUUACAGCCUUAGGAUACUAGCAAAUCGGCUAGGAUCGGCCCGGUAUAGGUCACCUUGAACUUACGCGUGCUCGGUCGUGUGUAAUGCCAAGAUGGGGACCUUAUAGAAAAUACUCGUUUUUUAAAAACUGUUUUUGGCCGAUUUUUCUUCACACCUGUUCUAUUUAGUAUAUUUUCAUUAGUAUUAUUAUUAGCUUUAUAGAUGAGGCGAUGAGUUGCUUAGCAGCCUGGUGUGCUUUCCCCCGUCGCGCUGCUAUGGUAGAUUGGUGAAAGAAAUGAUGUCUCUAUAAGAACAUAAAACAGCCAUAAUAAGACGGGUGCGAUCAUACACGCCUAUGCACCGGAUUCCAUUAGGAACUCUGUAGUUAAGCACCCUCCCCUUGAUGGGCAAGAGCAGUACUAGGAUGGAAUGACCACUUGGGAGUCAUAAUGUUGUAACCCUUUGUCAUAAUUUCUUCACGAUUUUCUUGUUUGGAGAUUCCUCAUCUGCAUUUGUUUACAGCGUUACGACUGCUAGCAAUCGGCUGUUCGGUGGUAAGGUCACAUUGGAGUAAGCGUGCCCGGUCGGGGCAAUAACCAAAGAAUGGGUGCCUUUGGGAAGUACUCGUUUUCAUAUAUUUUUUGACCGAUUUUUAUUCACACCCUUUUUCUUUUUAGAUAUUUCUCAUUAUCAUUUAUUUUUAGUGUACAAUAGAGGCGAUGAAAUCGGCUUGGUUCGGCUAGUGUGCUUCACCCGUCGCGCUAUUUAUGGUGGAUUUUUUUUGGGGGUGAAAGAAAAAUGAUGUCUAUAAGAAACAUAAACAUCCAUAAUUCGAUGGGGCAACCCAUACCCGCACUAAUGCUCUGGAUCCCUUUAGAAUCUGUAGUUAAUUCAUGCUGGGCGGGAGCAGUACUAGGAUGGAUGACACUGGAAGUCCUAGCUGUUGAAUACUUUUUUCGCAAUUUUUUUUUCACAAAGCUUUUCUUUUGAAAUGCCUCCUCCGCAUAUUGUUUACAGUCUUAUGGAUGCUAGCAAAUCGGGCUGCAUUCGCACCAGUAUAGGUCACCUUGAAGUUAACGUCCCGGUAGUGUGGCAAUCCAGAUGGGUGACCUUCUGGAAGUACUACUGAUUUUUCAAUCUUUUUUUUGGCGAUUUUUCUUCUCUCCUUUAUUUUUAGUAUAUAUUUGUCAUUAUAAUUAUUUUUUUUAGUCUUAUAGACGAGCGAUGAGUCGGAUGGUUCCGCCCGGUGUGCUUCCCCGUCCAACACUGCUAUCGUGGAUGGGGUGAAGAAAUUAUUUCUCUUAAGAACAUAAACAUCCAGAAAUCUGACGACCUACGGAUGCUAGAAAAUCGGCUAUUUUGGCCCGAUAUAAGUUCACCUUGAAGUUAAGUGUGUCUGUCGUGUGCAAUGCAUGAAGAUGGGUGACUUCUGGGAAGUAUUUCGUUUUUCAUUCAUCUUUCUUUUGACCAAUUUUUUUCACACUUUUUCUUUUAGUAUUUUCUCAUUAUCUUUUAUUUUAGCUUUACAGAUGGAGCGAUGAGUCGGCUUGGUCGGCCCAUUGUGCUUUCCUCCCCCCGUUGCACUACUAUGGUAGAUGGGGUAAAGAAAUAAUGUCUCUAUAAGAACAUAAAACAUCCAUAAUUUUACAGGUGCGAUCAUAGCUGCACUAAUGCACCGGAUCCCAUUAGAACUCUGCAGUUAAGCAUGCUUAGGCAGGAGCAGUACAAGGAUGGAUGAACACUUGGGAAGUCCUCGUGUUGCACGCCUUUUUCGCAUUUUUUUCUUUACAGCUUUUUUUUUCCUUUUUGGAAGAUUCCUCGUCCGCAUUUGUUUACAUCCUUACGGAUGCUAGAAAAUCGGCUGAAUUCAGCCCAGUUAGGUUAACUUGAAGUUAAGCGUGCCCGGUUCUUGUUCAUUUGCCAAGAUGGGUGACAUUUUAAAAGUAGCUACUUUACUCGUUUUUAUCUUUUUUUGGCCGAAUUUUCAUCACACCGAAGAAGCACCCGUUUUCGUUUUUCUAUCUCAAUUUACUCCUUCUCCGUUUCUUUUUUUAGUUUUAUAGAUGGAGGCGAAGAGUCGACUUGGUUGGUCUGUGUGCUUCCCCCUCGCGCUGGCUAUGGUGGAUGGGGUGAAGAAAUAAUUCCUUUAUAAGAACCAUAAAACAUCCAUAAUUUGACGGGUGCGACCAUACCCCCCCAUAAUGCUUAGAAUCCUUUAGAACUCUGCAGUAUAGUUCUCAUUAUUCUUUAUUUUUAGUUUUAUAGAUGGAGCAAUGAGUCUACUUGGUUAGUCCCGGUGUGCUUCUCCCUUCGCGUUGCUAUGGUGAAUGGGGUGAAGAAAAGGAUGUCUCCUAUAAGAACCUAAACAAUUCAUAAUCUAAUAGUGUGUCAUCCCGCACUAAUGCACCGGAUCCCAUUAGAACUCUGUAGUUAAGCAUGCUUGGGCAGGAGCAGUACUAGGAUGGAUGACUGCUUGGGAAGUCCUUAUGUUGCACCCUUUUUUUCUUCAUGACUUUUCUUUUUAGAAGAUUUCUCGUCUACAUUUAUUUACAGCCUUACGGAUGCUAGAAAAUCGGCUGUAUUCGUCCCGAUAUAGGUCACCUUGAAGUUAAGCGUGCAAGUCGGGUGCAAUGCCAAGAUGGAUGAUCUUCUGGGAAGUACUCGUUUUUCAUUUUUUUUUUGGUGAUUUUCUUCACAACCUUUUGUUAUAUGUAUAUUUCUCAUUAUUUUUUAUUUAUUAGUUUACAGAUGAGGCGAUGAGUCGGCAUGGUUCGGCCCAGUUGUGCUUCCCUUGUCGCGCUUUGCUAUGGUGGAUAGGGAAGAAAUGAUGUCUCUAUAAGAACAUAAAACAAUUCAUAAUCUGACGGGAAGUUUUUUUUGCGAUACAUACACGCACUAAUGCCACCAGAUUCCAUUAGAAUCUGGAGUUAAGCAGGCUUAGGAGGGAGUUGUACUAGGCUGGGACCACUUAAAAAAUCCUCGUGUUGCCACCCCUUUUUCCCAAUUUUUUUCACAGCCUUUUCUUUUGGAAAGAUUCCUCGUCCGUAUUUGUUUACAGCCUACGGAUGCUAGGCCAAUCGUUGAUCGACCGUUAUAGGUCACUGAGUUAGCAUGCCCGGUCAGGUGACAAUGCCAGAUGGGUAACCUUUUGGGAAGUACUCGUUUUUAAUCUUUUUUUGGCCAAUGUUUUUCACCUUUUUCUUUUUAGUAUAUUUAUCAUUAUAUUUAUUUUUUAGCUUACCGACAAAAGGUGAUGAGUCAGCUUAGUUCGGCCCGUGUGCUCCCCUGUGUGGUGGAGGUGAAGAAAUGAUUGUCUCGAUAAGAACAUAAAACAUCCAUAAUCUACGGGUGCGAUCAUACCCGCACUAAUGCACCGGAUCCCAUUAGAACUCGGCAGUUAUGCAAGCUUAGGCAGGAGCAGUACUAUGAUGGAUAUGACACUUGGAACCAUCCUCGAGUUGCAACCCUUUUUUCUCAAUUUUUCACGGCUUUUCUUUUUGAAAAAGUCAUAGUCCGGCAUUUGUUAAGCCUCGCAGAUGCUAGCAAAUCGGAUGGAUUUGGGCCCGGAUAGGUCACCUUGAAGUAAGCGUGCCCGAUCGGGUACAAUGCCAAGAGGGGUGCCUUCUGGGAAGUACUCGUUUUUCAUAUUUUAUUUGGUCGAUUUUUUUUCCCCCUUCACACGUGUUUCUUUUUAAAUAUUCUCAUUUCAGUUAUUUUUUAUCUUUGCAGAUAGAGGAAUGAGGCGUUUGGUUAGUCGGGUGCUCCCUCUUGCGACUGCCGAUGUUGGAUGUGGGUGAAAAAAUAAUGUCUCUAUUAAGAGAUUAAAAAUUCAUAAUCUUGACAGGUUCAAUCAUACCCGCAUUAAAUGCACCGGAUCAAAUUAAAACUCUAAAGUUAAGCAUGCUUGGGCGGGACCAGUACUAGGUUGGAUGACCAUUUGGGAAGUCCUAGGAUUCACCCAUGUUUUUUCUAAUUUUUCCGGCUUUUCUUUUUGAAGAAUUCCUCGUCACUAUUUGCUUACUGCCUUACGGAUGCUAGCAAAUCAGCUGAAUUCGGCCCGAUAUUAGCGUCACCUGGAAGUGAAGCGUGCCCCGUCGGGUGCCAAUGCAAGAUCGGUGACAUUGGGAAGUACUCGUUUUUAUUUUUUUUGGACCUAUUUUUCUUCACCACCUUUUCUUUUUAGUAUAUAGCUCAUUCUCAUUUCUUUUUUUAGCUUUACGAUUGGAGGCGAUGAGUCGGCUGGUUCGGCCCGGUAUGCUUCCCCAUCGCAUUGUUAUGGUGGAUGGGGUGAAGAAAAUGAUGUCUCCUUUAAGAACAUAAAACAUCCAAUCUAACGGGUGUGAUUACAUACUUGCAACUAAUGCAUGAUCCCACUAGAACUCUGCCAGUUAGCAUGCCUUGGGCGGGAGCAGUACUAGGAUGGAUGACCAUUUGGGAAGUUCUCGUGUUGAACCCUUUUUUCUCAAGUUUCUUACGCUUUUCUUUUGAAGAUUCGUCGUCGCAUUUGUUUACACCUUAGGAUGUUAGCAAAUCACCUGGAUUUGGGCCCGGUAUAGGUCAACCUUGAAGUUAAGCGUGCCCGAUCGGGUGCAAUCCAAGAUGAGUGACUAUCUGGGAAGUACUCAUAUUUCAACUUUUUUUUGAGUGAUUUUUCUUCACACUUUUUUUUUAGUAUAUUUCUAUUCUCAUUGAUUUUUAGCUUUACAGGAUGCGAGGCGAUACGUCGGUUGGUUUGGCCCGGUGGUUUCCCCAGUAGCGAUGGCUAUGUUGGAUGGGGUAAAAAAAUGAUAUCUCUAUAAGAACCUAAAAUAUCCAUAAUCGGACGGGUGCCAAUUCAUACCGGCCUCAUAAACUGGAUUCCAUGAGAAUUGUAGUUUAAGCAUGCUUGGGCGGGAGCAGUACUAGGAUGGAUGAACAAUUGGGAACCUAGUGUUGCAACAUUUUUUUCUCAAUUUUUCUUCACGACUUUUCUUUUUGGAAGAUCUCUCCGCAUUUGUUUACAGUCUUACGGAUGCUAGCAAAUCGGUUUGGAUUUAACCCCGGUAUAAUAGGUCACCUUGAAAUUACGUGGCCGGUGGGUGUGCAAUGCCAAGAUGGUGACCUUCUGGGAACUACUACCUCGUUUUUUAACUUUGGGGGUGAUUUUUCUUCAAGCUUUUUUCUUUUUAAUAUAUUUUCUCAUUAUCAUUUAUUUUUUAGCUUUACUAUGGAGGAGAUAGUCAGAUUGGUUUUCGCACCGGUGUGGUUCCCCCGUCGUGCUGCUAUGGUGGAUUGUUGAAGAAAUUAUGUCCUUCUAUAAGCACAUAAAACAUUAUCCAGUAAUCUGGACGGGGUGCGAUCAUACCCGCACUAAUGCUCCGGAUUCCUUGUAGAACUCAACUGCAGUUAAGCGUGCUUGGGCGGGAGCAGUAACUAGAUGGAUGACCACAUUGGGAAGUCUUGUGUUGCAUGCCUUUUUCUAAAAUUUUUCUUCACUCUCGGCUUUUCUUCUUGGAAAGUUCCUCGUUCGCAUUUGUUUACAAGCCUUAACGGAUGCUAGCAAAUCGGCUGUAUUUCGCUCAUUAUAGGUCACCUUGAAGUUAAAGCUUGCUCGGUCGGUUGCAUAUCAAGAUGGUGACCUUUUGGAAAGUACUCAUUUUUUAACUUUUUUUUGGCUGAUUUUUCUUCACACCUUUCUCGUUUUAGUAUAUUUCUCAUUAUCAUCUAUUGUUUUAGCUUUACGAUGAGUGGCGAGUGAGUUGGCCUUGGUUCGGCCCGGUGGUGUUCCCUCCCCCCGUCGCGCUGCUAUGGUAGAUGGGGUGAAGAAAUGAUGGCUCUAUAACGAACAAUACACCCACAAAUAAGAGGGUUUUUUAUAAAUGGAAUUCUAUUAGAAAAGUCAUCAAAGGAAUUCCACCACAAUACAAAUGCCUUAUAACCUUUAACGAUUGUGCAAUAAGUUUUUCUGCAAAUCCGAAAUUAUUCCAAAGAGGUGGUUACCUCUCUAUACCGCCACCUAUGUAACAUUCUGAAAAAGAGCGCUCUUAAUCCUAAUAUCCAUACUUUCUAUCCCAUCAAAAUGAUGUCUAUUCCUCUCCUCCACAAGAAGCCACAAUCAAACAUAAUGGCAAAAUAAACCCUAUCUACUUCCUCCCCAUCUUAGUGCCUCUCCAGCAAUGAAGACGUCCGACAAGCCAAAUUAAAUCAGAAAGGAUCGGUCCGACGCCCACAGGAAACAACUAAACAAGAAGAUGGGCACCGGGUCUGGCAUCCCUCUUACCAUGCAACACCAUAUUCCACUAUCACUUUCUUCUCUUUCAAUCAAAUUACCAAUAGUAGCAUAUUCCUUGGCCUCACACCACACCAAGAAAUCUAACUAGGGAGGACCCAAUUGGCCGACCAUGGGUGAACAAAAGUUUAUGUCUUACCCGCGAAACUUGAUAAAAGAACUAUGACCUAAAAAAAUCAUCCUAAGGUACAAGACUCAUCUGAAAGAAUCCUCACUAUCCAAUAUAAAAGGCAUGCCAUAUAACCUCUCCAAAACUUGAGUCCCAUUUCCGGUCAUUGGGGUUGUAAAACUCCCUACAAGCAAAACGUCUGCGAUUGUAGCAAUCCCUAGUCGAUAGCUAGCGAUAAUGGUCCCGAAGGAAUGCUCUCAGUCUUCCCCACAACACCACACUUAAGAACAAAACUUCACUCAUCGAUCUUCCUCACUAACCACAUAGCAAUAUAGCAUGGCAUCUCAAGUAACCACACAAAAUAAAAGAGAAAGAGGAAAGAAGAAGAAAAGGUAGGACAAGAAAAAUCCCAUAUCCUAGGUACUCCCCAAGGUUAUUCCAAUCACACCAAAGAAAGAAAAGCUAACACCACAGGGACCCACAACUGGAAGCACAAGUUUUCCUCUAUCUAUCAUCCAAAUACGCUACUACAUCACUUGCAUAUUGAAGCCAUCCAAGUGCCUAAAAACUAGAGGAUGCAAACUUUGUGUUCAAGUAUAUAGUGUUCUAAAAAUCAUGUAUUCAGUAAGUUGGGUGCGGACGAGUGGCGGAGGGCCCUAGCGCCUAGGAGCCUAGACUGGGGCCUAAGCAAUUUUUAUAAUUUUUAUUUAUUUUAUUUAUUUAAACAUUAAUAUUUACUAAAACAUUAAUUAAUGACCAAAUAAUUCAAUUCUAACAAAAAAAUGACAUCAAUAGUAGAGUUUCAUUGUUUAUGUUGAAAACGACUAAGAAAAAGAUGUAAAUCAAUGAAUAAUUUAGGUCUCUAAAAUACAUAGCUGGGUCUCUAACAAGCACUGAAAUGCGGUAAGCGGGGGGUCUAGGUGGCCAUCGCCGUAGGGGUUCCAGGCAGGCCGGGGCCGCCGGGGGGGGGGGGAGUGUCUAGCCCCUAGGCAACCGAUUUUUAGAAUAUUGCAAAUAUAUUAUUGGACCUAAGCAAUCAACCGAUAGACAGCCAAGCUGGCAACUAAGUAUUGGGUGUUACGAUAUAUGGGUUGUUCACAUUCCCAAAAGAGAACUUAUCUUAGACUUUUAGGACAUGUUUAAUUACCCGGACUAGGCGGGACUAUAUUCACGAGUCCAGUCCAGUCCCACAUUUGUUUUUCUAAAAUGGCUCCGGACUACUAGUCCGAGCAACCCAUGUCCCUCAUACCUUUGGGACAACUUGUCCUGGGGUUCCAUGAUUUUAUUAGUCCCUCAAGUAGUCCGGGGACUACUUUGGCCAGUCCGGGUAAUCAAACAUGCCCUUAAAGUCUUCAAAGACCUAAUUGUUGUUGUAACGAUUUUCAGCAAUUGUUUCAGCUAAUCUCCUUCUAAAUCCUAAAUCAAGCCAGUUGCACCGUAUUCCACUAGUCAACCAUGAAUUUGUUGUCCUUCAUUUUCGAUGAAUUCUGAUACCAGACAACACUAAUGUGAUACAAAAAAUCCCCGGUCCUAUCAAAUUGCAUCUAUGUCCCAAUUCCUUAGCAAGCGAAGACGGAACAUUUCCAUUUUCCAGCAUGCCAGUAGUCAGGCUGCCCAUAGUCAUCAGUCCCCUGUUCCUUUCCUCUCCUUCUGCAACACGUACUAACCACUCCCUAAUCCUCCACCCGAAAUCCUCCCACACAAGAAAAGAAAAUAAUUUUGAAGAAUCAAGUAUAACCAUAUUUAAUUUGAGUUCAGGAUCGGGACACACGGACACUGUCCCCUGGUCAUACAAAGGAGUUUAGUAACAGCAUAAGAAUAAAAUGAAUCGGUGAAAAUCAGAAGAUAAGGAAAAAAAGGUUUGAUAUGAAAGAAGAGGGCACUUGUCCAACGUUUCUAUGAUGGAGAAAAAAACCGAAAAAACAUAAAAUACGAAUUAAAUUACAAUUGGCGAUACGUUUUCUUUUCUUCUUUUAUGUUGAUGGAUGAGUGCUAUUCUAGUUCUAUGACACACAUAAAUCAAUAAUUUUCAUUCAUCACAUAGUGUUAACUCUAUAACUCAGGGCUGCAACUGGUGUUGUGAGUAUACAUUGUGAUAAUUAAUAUCCACCACCUACCAAUUAAAUUAAAAGUUUACUUAAUCAAUUGUCUUGAUAUCGUCAAAGACCAAACUCAACAAUGAAUGCUGGCUAGCUCAGUGAAAGAUAAUUUUGAAUCUAACUUUAAUUCAACGAUUCUGUUUAGCUAAACUUUAAUAUCUCAAUAUAAUCACAUGUACAGUAAUUAAUUUAAGUUUAUCCCAAGCAUCUUAACUUAAUCAAACUCUCUAAGUAAGAGCUGCACAAGACAAGCUCAAUUGAAGGUGAACUUUUCUUUCUUGGACGAGAAAAACAACACAAUAACCUAAUUUGGGGGACUCAGGUCCUCAUAGCAUUUUCCGUGUGGUGAGAGGCACAAGGAAAGAUCAUUACAGUUGAUCACUUAUUCGCCUAUAAAUCAUCAUUAAUUGGUGUAGUGGAAGUCGGUUAUGUUCAUGUUUAGCAGGCUAGUUCUUUCCCAGGUGGUGCUAUGGAGCUUCUCUUUAUUGACGGAGUAGAAUUUGUCGCUAGCACGUGAGUGGCUCGUCGGGAAAUAAUGGUAGGCAUUUUGUCGGAUUAGUAUUCGUUUUGUAUAUUGUCUCCUUUUGUUAGUAGGAUCAUGGAGUCGCAUAUGUGCAAUCCCCCCUUGACAAUUACUUGAUCUAGUUGACCUUUUUGAUUCUGGUGCAAGUGUUGGACCUUGUUGGUGGGCUGUCCCUUCUCUGUACUGGAUGCCUUCCUUAAUGCGCUUCUUUAUUAUAAAUUUUAGUUGCUUACCCAGAAAGAAACUAGAUUGAUAUUUCUUUUCAUGUCACUUGUAGUUCCUCAAUUUUCUUCCGCGGCCAGCCCAUAUUUUAUCCAAAACCUGGGCAAUUCGUUCAUCAGACUGAUGCAGCCGAAUCAAUCGCAAACACUGUCCUACACAGUAAAGAAAUAUGUCCACGGGCUUAGAAUUCGAAUGCCUCGACCCGUGCGGCACUUAGUCGCUUUUACCUACAAGUCGCUAAGUAAGCCUAGAACACGAAAGAAAGGCUAAGAGCACAAGUAAGCAACAAGAAGAGAAUUCUAGAGAGAGAGAGUUUGGGAGAAUGCCCUUUUAUCUCAAAUUCUUGAUUUCUCGCAAUGAGGGGGUUUGUCCCCUAUUUAUACAAGUAUGAAUCUCUAAAUGUUCUACCAUGACCUAGGAAUUCCUAUGUACAAGGAUCUUUUCCUAGAAGUUUCCACCAUAUCUAGAAUACUCCACAACCUUCCAACAUGUGGUAGAAUUCUAGAUCCUUCUCCACGUUUUCGGAAGACCCUGAGAGACCUAGAAGUUUCUAGGCUUGUUUGGGGGACUUUGGCCCUCCAUGGGCCUAAUUUGCGGCCAAUCAGUGGGCUUUGUACAUUCCCCCCACCCAAUUUGGCGACCGCCCCGUCGCCGUCCCGAAAUUUGCCGGUCUUGUCCAAAUGGCCGGAAGGACUCCUCCCUUGAGUGUUUGUCGCCCUUCGACUGGAUCCUGACACGAGUGUCCCUCCCCCACGGGUUGUCCCUCGAAUCUUUUGGCUUGGAGUUGGGAUGCUUUCGCUUAGCUGGUUCUUGCCCGCCCACUUCUUCAUCCUUUGGCCGCCUUGGCCAUGUCUCAUGCCCCCUUUGCCGAUUGAAAGCUCCCGUUCCCUUGGUACGAAUGACGGCAUAAUUUUAGCACUCUUCUCCUCCUUCGAGAGUUGCAUGGCGGAUAUGUCUUGGACUUCAACAAUUGCUUCCCUCGCCAAUGUACCAUACAAUGUGCGCCCUUCACCCAUUAUGGCACAUGGUCCUCGGCAAAGGGGAUGGGGAAUGCCCGCCCCCAUCGCAAAAACUCCAUCCCCAACACAAUGGGUAGUCAUCCUUGGUACCACCGUAAGCCACUUAGGCCACACACUCCCCAAUGUGUAGCCGCACGUCCCGAGCACUCCAUAGAUAGGCCGUGCCUCCCGUGUUGCCGGCCUUUAUCCAGCCCCCUUGUUCUUCCUUGAGUUGAUGUCCUAACCGGCUUCGCCUCCUGACUUCAUAAAAUUGUAGACGCCGGUAUCAUCAAAGCACGAGUGGUUGAAACCGCGUACCUUUGCUUCCACAUCAUGCGCCCCUUCCUUGGCGCCCUUGGUCUUGCCCACCUUGCUUUGAUUGCAUUAGAUCAAUCGUAAAUGCAUCCCACCUUGGCUUCCUCUUGGUGGGGCUCUCCUCGUCAUCUGGAAAGGGCGCUAGCUUUGCUCUUUGUGGGCAAAUCCCUAGCCAAGUGAUUUCCGUCACAUGAAAAACAGAAAGCGUGGGUUUGUCGCCAUACUCCUAUCUUUGUUGACCCGGCUUUGUCUUGGGAGAGGAUUGCUUUGGAAACUCCCUCCUUGUCUCCCCCACUUGGUUCAUGGUCUCCUUUUGAAACUGGCACUAGAUGAGGACCUCACCUUCUGGCAGUCUACCAAAGACUCACAAUAGAGAUGCCGUUGCAAGGUCUUGGGGUCCUCGUCGUGCACCUCGAGUUUGUCCCAAGAUUGAAGUCCGUCAAGAAAGUGAAAAGAGCACUCUCUCGGUCAUGUCUCGGAAUUUCUAAGCAAGAGCUCGGAGAACUCUUUCACAUAGUCCCGAAUAGUGCUUUUGUGUGAGAGACCGUCGUAGUCUUGCCCUCGCUUCAUGCUCCGAAUUUAUUGGAUCGAAUUGCGCUUGAAUUUUCCUUUUGAAAUCUUCCCUGUAGCAGGGUGCAGUUCUCGUUCCAUAUCCGCGUGUCGCCGCCUCCACCAUAGCGUGCCGCAUCCGAUAGGAAGAGAGGGCCUUUUAUCUUCUUAUUUUUUUCAUGUAUCCGGUGGCCCUCAAAAUAUUGAUCCCAGUCCCACAAGAAAUUAUCUAACUCUCUGCAUUCCUCGACCAUUGUAACUCUGGGUCUUGGAAUGUCCACCUUAGAGAGGGAGAGGAAGAAUGGGUCCCUUGCGUACCGCAUCUUGCACAAGGACCAAUCGCCCUUGACUUCCUUGAUCUCCUCCUUUAUAGCGGUGAUCUCGGCUUGGAGGCGAGUCUUUUGAGAGCAUCCAUUUGCGCCUUCCAUUAUUCGGCCAACGAGUUGAGGAUUCCUGCAUCUCCCUAUGGAACUCCUCAUUUCCGCCCUCGAAGUUCGGCGAUGCUUGAUUCCAUGUCCUCAACUUGUCCCGUAUUGUCGGCCAUGGCAAACUCCCCCCGUUGGGUCUUGCCUCCAAUGAAGCCUGAUGUCCGCGGACUUCCUCGUUUUCCCUUGCCGGGGAGGAGAGUAUCCCUCUCAUGACCGACUCCAUGUUCGUACACCUCCGAAGUUGUUUGGGGCCAUGCUUAGCCUUUGGGAACCAAAGCUCUGAUACCACUGUCACGGGCUUGAAUUCGAAUGCCUCGACCCGUGCGCACUUAGUCGCUUUUACCUACACAAAGUCGCUAUUAAGCCUAGAACACCGAAAGAAGGCUAAGAGCAUAAGUAAGCAACAGAAAGAGAUUCUAGAGAAAGAGAUUUGGGAAGAAUGCCCUUGUUUCUCAAAUCUUGUAUGCCUCACAUGAGGGGGUUUUGUCCCCUAUUUAUACAAGUUGAAUCGUCUAGAAUGUCUAAACCAUGCCUAGGAAAUCUAUGUAACAAUGAUCUUCCUAGAAGUUUCCACCAUAUUGUAGAAUACUCCACAACCUUUCCAAUAUCUGGUAGAAUUCUAGAUCCUUCUCCACGUUUUUUCGGAAUAUCCCUGAGAGCCUAGAAGGUUCUAGGCUUGUUGGGGGCCUUUGGCCCUCCAUGGGCCUAAUUUGCGGGCCAAUCAAGUGGGC
rnacentral:lncRNA from 1 species